rnacentral:tRNA from 2 species
GGGCCCAUAGCUUAAUUGGUAGAGCGCUUCCAUGGCAUGGAAGAGGUUAGGGGUUCAAGUCCCCUUGGGUCCACUA